rnacentral:rRNA from 1 species
CCUACGGGAGGCUGCAGUGGGGAAUAUUGGACAAUGGGGGCAACCCUGAUCCAGCCAUGCCGCGUGUGUGAAGAAGGCCCUCGGGUUGUAAAGCACUUUCAGUGAGGAAGAACGCCUGGUGGUUAAUACCCAUCAGGAAAGACAUCACUCACAGAAGAAGCACCGGCUAACUCCGUGCCAGCAGCCGCGGUAAUACGGAGGGUGCGAGCGUUAAUCGGAAUUACUGGGCGUAAAGCGCGCGUAGGUGGCUUGAUAAGCCGGUUGUGAAAGCCCCGGGCUCAACCUGGGAACGGCAUCCGGAACUGUCAAGCUAGAGUGCAGGGAGGAAGGUAGAAUUCCCGGUGUAGCGGUGAAAUGCGUAGAGAUCGGGAGGAAUACCAGUGGCGAAGGCGGCCUUCUGGACUGACACUGACACUGAGGUGCGAAAGCGUGGGUAGCAAACAGGAUUAGAUACCCGAGUAGUC